ensembl:snoRNA
UGAUCUGACAUGGGAAGAGUAGCUUCUAGUUGGUAGAGCCCAUCUCACAUCAGCCAGAGACAAAGCAACCCCUUGUUUAUCCUGGCUUGGCUUUUGGCCUGUGUCCAUGCCUUGGACACAUGG